UGGUUCUGGCAUCGAUGAAGAACGCAGCGAAAUGCGAUAAGUAAUGCGAAUUGCAGAAUCCGUGAGUCAUCGAAUCUUUGAACGCAUAUUGCGCCCCUUGGUAUUCCGGGGGGCAUGCCUGUUCGAGCGUCAUUAUCACCCCUCAAGCUCUGCUUGUUGUUGGACGUCGGCGGUGCCGUCGCGCCCCGCCCGUCUCAAAGAUAAUGACGGCGUCUGUGAGGACUCCUGUACACUGAGCUUUCGGGCACGUACUAGGUCAGCUCUCCAGGCCCGGUCUUUAUGUCGCCUCGGCGACAAACUUUUCUAAGGUUGACCUCGGAUCAGGUAGGAAUACCCGCUGA
rnacentral:misc_RNA from 1 species